AAAGAACUCGAAACAUAUAGUACUGUACAAUAAAAAGUGUAUUCGAACUACAACUAGUUCUCGAAAAAUUAACUGAAUUUCGCAGUAGAACGCAAUCAUUGUUCCUAUUCUAGAGCUUCAGUCAACGGAAAUCGAACUCUACACAAAGGUCCAACUAAAUUGACUACGAAGUCGCUAUGAAAUAACGAAUCAUACGGCAUGCAAUCAAACAAAUUGAAGCUCUAUAUGUACAAAUAAAGAUUUAAUUGAAAAAGGGGGUGAUCUUGCCUUUCCGCUGAUAAUCAGCCAACAGUCCUUAGUCUUAUUAUGCUUCGCGACCUCCUCGAAUGUGUGAGAUUUCGGAUCUGAUGCCAUCGUUGAUUGUUCCUCACCACUAAACACAAAAAGGAAAAUAGUUUCAAAAUCGGAAUGAAAACAUAAAAAAAUAUAACCCGAUUAACAAAUAAAGAGAGCAUCUGAAAAGCAAACAACGGAAUCAAGAGAAAUUAAGUCGAUCAGAAAGCUUACGAGAGAAGCGGNUAUCACAUAAACAACUAAUUGAAAUUUGAAGUUGUACAUAAUUAAACAUUUCAUAAAUAUUGUAAAUAAAACAGUAAAUAUUAUUGAUGUAAUACUCACUGGAGAUGAAUCUUAGUUUGGAGAGAAAACAAAUAGUUGGAACUUGGAACGGCAUUGGUAUUAGAUUUCCCCCUCAAAUUUCCACAUCAAAUUAACCAAAUAAAAGAAGAGAAGUAGUACCAAGUCCAAGCAAUAUGUGCAGUGAUUCAGGGCUAUCUACCUACUAGUUAAGAAUCAGAACUAACUACCUACGGAAGAGUCAAUGAAGUUGUUUCUAAACCAACCCUAUAUAAUUGCCCUGCCGUUGAUGUGUAAUCUAGCAACUCUAGUUCAAAAGAGGACAUAAAAAGAAAAGGAAAAUGAAAGGAAAUAAGAAAAAUCAAACAGUUGAAACAGUUCCAUAAGCUAGAAAGUGAGUUAAAAGAACUCGAAACAUAUAGUACUGUACAAUAAAAAGUGUAUUCGAACUACAACUAGUUCUCGAAAAUUAACUGAAUUUCGCAGUAGAACGCAAUCAUUGUUCCUAUUCUAGAGCUUCAGUCAACGGAAAUCGAACUCUACACAAAGGUCCAACUAAAUUGACUACGAAGUCGCUAUGAAAUAACGAAUCAUACGGCAUGCAAUCAAACAAAUUGAAGCUCUAUAUGUACAAAUAAAGAUUUAAUUGAAAAAGGGGGUGAUCUUGCCUUUCCGCUGAUAAUCAGCCAACAGUCCUUAGUCUUAUUAUGCUUCGCGACCUCCUCGAAUGUGUGAGAUUUCGGAUCUGAUGCCAUCGUUGAUUGUUCCUCACCACUAAACACAAAAAGGAAAAUAGUUUCAAAAUCGGAAUGAAAACAUAAAAAAAUAUAACCCGAUUAACAAAUAAAGAGAGCAUCUGAAAAGCAAACAACGGAAUCAAGAGAAAUUAAGUCGAUCAGAAAGCUUACGAGAGAAGCGGAAUCUGAUAAUUUUCUGCGUCGCCUGCUUUGACCAAC
rnacentral:lncRNA from 1 species